UUUAAUUAUUCAUUUCUAUUUGCUUGAAGAAACAUUCUUACAUGACACGCAUACGUCCGUGCAUUUUCCUUGUUGCAGCAACAUGAAUUAAAUAAGCCGCUUUCACAAGUAGACCAACUUCAAGGGAUUUCUCGCUAACUUGUUUUCUCUAUGCUCUUCGCACUUUCUCCGCUCAGCUGAAGAAAAGGUAGAGCCUGGUAACCCGGAAGAUGUCAGGAACAAGACAGGAGGAUCUUUCCAGUGCUCCUUCAAAUAACUUUACAUUGUAUAUAAAAGUCCCCUUACGAAAGGUGAUGCUGUGUCAUAUGCUGUGUCAUAGUUUCUCAAAGUAACCAGUUUACAUAAUCCAUCGUGGCUUGAAUUCUCUCCAAUACUACUACAUGGGGUCCACUGUGUCUUGAAUGCCUC
rnacentral:lncRNA from 1 species